GACGAACGCUGGCGGCGUGCCUAAUACAUGCAAGUCGAGCGAGUCUGCCUUGAAGACUGGAGUUCUUGCAUUCUGAGUAACAAGCUACAGGCUAGCGGCGGACGGUUGACUAUUACGUGGGUAAUCUGCUCAAGAGACUGGCACAACACCUGCAUACAACCUCUAAUACCGGAUAACAACAGUUGAUGCCUAUCAACUGUUUAUAAGACGGUGUUGCUUUCACUCUUGGAUGGACCAGCGGUGCAUUAGCUAGUUGGUGGGGUAACGGCCUACCAAGGCGACGAUGCAUAGCCGAGUUGAGAGGAUGAUCAGCCACAUUGGAACUGAGACACGGCCCAGACUCCUACGGGAGGCAGCAGUGGGGAAUAUUGGACAAUGGGCGCAAGUCUGAUGCAGCCACACCGCGUGAGUGAAGAAGGCUUUCGGGUCGUAAAGCCCUGUUGUUGGUAAAGAAAGGCAGCAGUAGAAACUGACGCUGGUUUGACGGUAAUCAAUUAGAAAGUACCGGCUAACUAAGUG
rnacentral:rRNA from 1 species